UACGGAGGGGGCUAGCGUUGUUCGGAAUUACUGGGCGUAAAGCGCGCGUAGGCGGACCUGCAAGUCGGGGGUGAAAGCCCGAGGCUCAACCUCGGAACUGCCUUCGAUACUGCGGGUCUCGAGUCCGGGAGAGGUGAGUGGAAUUCCUAGUGUAGCGGUGAAAUGCGCAGAUAUCAGGAAGAACACCAAUGGCGAAAGCAGCUUUCUGGACGGUACUGACGCUGAGACGCGAAAGCGUGGGGAGCGAACAGG
rnacentral:rRNA from 1 species